rnacentral:rRNA from 1 species
AGUGAACGCUGGCGGUAGGCCUAACACAUGCAAGUCGAACGGCAGCACAGUAAGAGCUUGCUCUUACGGGUGGCGAGUGGCGGACGGGUGAGGAAUACAUCGGAAUCUACUUUUUCGUGGGGGAUAACGUAGGGAAACUUACGCUAAUACCGCAUACGACCUACGGGUGAAAGCAGGGGAUCUUCGGACCUUGCGCGAUUGAAUGAGCCGAUGUCGGAUUAGCUAGUUGGCGGGGUAAAGGCCCACCAAGGCGACGGUCCGUAGCUGGUCUGAGAGGAUGAUCAGCCACACUGGAACUGAGACACGGUCCAGACUCCUACGGGAGGCAGCAGUGGGGAAUAUGGGACAAUGGGCGCAAGCCUGAGCCAGCCAUACCGCGUGAGUGAAGAAGGCCUUCGGGUUGUAAAGCCCUUUUGUUGGGAAAGAAAAGCAGCAGGUUAAUACCCCGCUGUUCUGACGGUACCCAAAGAAUAAGCACCGGCUAACUUCGUG